GAAGAACUAGGCUUUAAAACAAAUUAGUGGUUUGUUGUUCUUUUGCUCUACUGUCAAAAAACCCUUUGCUGCGGGGUCAUACUGGGGAAAUAUGUUAAGAUUUUGAAUUAUUCAUUCAAGUGGCUGGUCUUACAAAA
rnacentral:lncRNA from 12 species